UCCAAGAAGCAGAUCUGCGCUCCGCGCCGCAGAGAAUAAGUAGCAGGUCUAUUUUAGCUGCAAGCCGCGUCAAGCAGCACAGAGGAGAUCGAACCAGGUAGGAAGUCAGACACAGAACGGCAUAGAGAAUCCGGUCAAUUUUCCAAAUAAAACACCCUGUGGAGACUACCGAUCGUAAAACAACACUAAACACGGUUAAAACCAGUGGUGUAGUCUACGUGAUACGCAGGUAUACGCCGUAUACCCACUAGGAACGGUCAAAGAUUUCAGUAUAACCACAACAUCGUUUUGUGACAGAACUUUCACACGUUCACUCAUAAAUUCACCCCGCUUGUGUUGCGAAGCUCUGAACUGACGUUUGGGGCUUCCGUGGCCUGUGACCGGGAUCUGACGUCACCUACCAAACAACAACACUAGCUGCGUGGCGGUCACGCGGCGCACGUUUUCACGUAUUUCUGUGAGAUCAGGUUGCUGAAGGAGAUGUGAAAUGCGAGCAAACUCAAACUACACUCUUUUGGUGUUUUCGUAAGCCUGCAGCUGAAGCUGCUGCCGCUCCGGGUGACACUGCAGCUGCAGCAGAUGACACGAACGUUAAAGUCACUGAAACACAGAAAACGAGCCAGAUGAGGCUGAUGCUAUCCUAACGUUACCUGGCACUCAAAGCACCAAGGUCUUGGUUAAAUACUGAAGAAGUCAACAGUGACCUGAAGCGCAAGGCUGGAAGUGUUUACCACAGAUGGGAAUCUAGAUACACACCCAGGUCUCUUAUGCCAAAGUCCUGCACUUUUAGGAUCAGAAUCAGAAUCACUUUUAGUAACCAGGUAUGUAUACACCAAGAGGAGUUUGGCACGUAUAGCUGUGAAGCAUUAUGCCAAAAAAUUCUAGCACAUACUGUAGUCAUACAUUAUUGCAACUCUGUCUCAUAGAAAUUACAUUUAUAUGGUAAGAAUUUGUUUUGUCAGUAUUAAAUGGCAGUAAUUGUUUUCCAGUGAAAACCUUUAUUCUGCACAUAAAAAAGUUGGUCUGGAUGGAUGGUAGGUACAUUAAACUGUUGUUUUGCUGUCUA